rnacentral:lncRNA from 1 species
UUGUUUGUUUUUGGUCAUAUAUGCCACAAAAUGAAUAUAUAAGUUAUGUAGAAAAUCAUCAGAUAUAAACAAAAUUUGAACUUGAUCUGCAUUAUUGUUCAACUUAAUACCAAUUCUGAAAUCAAUAUUUACAAGCAUAAGGGGUAAGUGUGGAGUUAAUUUUCAAAGUUCAAGGACCACAACUCUGCACAAAAUCAUCAGCCUGAAACAAAAUUCCAACUUCAUCUAUAACUUGUCUGGAUAAAACUUUUUACCAAUUUUCAAAUCAAUAUCACUUCAAACUUCCCACAAAUGUCUGUCUAAAUUUUGGAUUGAUAUCAAUGUCUUGCAUGCUGAUUUUUAGGGAGUUUCAAAACGUAUUAAACCACCAUUUUCCAGUUUCGAUUCACAAACUCUAAAGAGUAUGCACUUUUGAUGUGCCUUAUAUUCCUUAAUCCUUAAGUAUAAGCCC